CGCCUAGGCUAGGCGCUCAGGGAGGCCAAGGCGUCGCCGACGCCCAGCAAGAAGAGAGGAAGAGCAAGGGGAAGGAGCGACUGGGAGAUGAAAGGAGGAGCAAGAAGGUUACCAGAACUAGCGGGCGCACGACCUCCGCCUUCCUCAUCCUCGACGGCACCGGCGCCGGGGAGAUCUGGCCCCCAAGAGAGAGGGUGCAGGCCGCCAGCACCUGGAAUCCUCGGCGGCGGUGCUCUGCUCCGUCUCUGCCUACCUGCCGGCGCCCCUUCCUGGAGCGGCGGCGCUGGUGCUCCAUCUGGGGGUGGCUGCGGCAAGGAGGAGGACUGGCGGCGCUGGUGCUGUCUGGGAUGAGCGGGCGAGCGGCGGCGCACAACGAUAGGGUGGAGAGGGUGGGCUCACGGGAGGACUGAUGAAGUGAUGAGUAGUUUAUGGGCUGGUAGUGACUUGGUGGGCUGGGCCUUACAUUCUUCUCGGGCCUUUUCUCUUUUCUUUCUUCUUUUCUCAUUUCUUUUCCCCUUUAUACUGCUAAUUAUACUGCUAAUAUGCUGCUUUUACGUUGGUGUA